rnacentral:rRNA from 1 species
UACGUAGGCAGCGAGCGUUGUUCGGAGUUACUGGGCGUAAAGGGUGCGUAGGCGGUUGUUUUAAGUUUGGUGUGAAAUCUCCCGGCUCAACUGGGAGGGUGCGCCGAAUACUGAAUGACUAGAGUGCGGGAGAGGAUAGUGGAAUUCCUGGUGUAGCGGUGAAAUGCGUAGAGAUGUGGAGGAACACCGAUGGCGCAAGGGCAGCCCCCUGGGUCGAAGAUUGACGCUCAUGCACGAAAGGCGUGGGAGCAAACAGGAUUAGAGU